UAAUUAUCAAAUAUUUAGU
rnacentral:miRNA from 1 species